rnacentral:rRNA from 1 species
UCCGUAGGCGGUGUGGUAAGCCGAUAGUGAAAUCUCUGGGCUUAACCCAGAGGCUGCUAACGAAACUGCCAUGCUAGAGUGUGAGAGAGGCGAGUGGAAUUACGGGUGUAGCGGUGAAAUGCGUAGAUAUCCGUAGGAACAUCCGAGGCGAAGGCGGCUCGCUGGAUCACAACUGACGCUGAGGGACGAAAGCUAGGGGAGCAAACAGGAUUAGAUACCCUGGUAGUCCUAGCCCUAAACCAUCAGGACUUGGGGUUUGCCCUGUACGGGGCAAGUCCCGUAGCUAACGCGUUAAGUCCUGCGCCUGGGGAGUACGGUCGCAAGGCUGAA